rnacentral:rRNA from 1 species
CUCAAAGGAAUUGACGGGACCCGCACAAGCAGCGGAGCGUGUGGUUUAAUUCGUUGCUACACGAAGGAACCUUUAACCUGGGUUUGACAUAUAGGUUGUAGGGAACUGAAAGGGACCGACCCUUCGGGAGCCUAUACAGGUGUUGCAUGGCUGUCGUCAGCUCGUGUCGUGAGAUGUUCGGUUAAGUCCGCUAACGAGCGCAACCCUCGUCGUAUGUUAUAUGUGUCAUACGAGACUGCCGGUAAAAGCCGGAGGAAGGUGAGGAUGAUGUCAAGUCAGCAUGACCUUUAUAUCCAGGGCUACACACACGCUACAAUGGUCUGUACAAUGGGUAGCCAAGCCGCGAGGCGGAGCCAAUCCUGAAAGCAGGCCUCAGUUCAGAUUGCAGUCUGCAACUCGACUGCAUGAAGCCGGAGUUGCUAGUAACCGCAGGUCAGCAAUACUGCGGUGAAUACGUUCCCGGGUCUU